AGUGAACGCUGGCGGUAGGCCUAACACAUGCAAGUCGAACGGCAGCACAGUAAGAGCUUGCUCUUACGGGUGGCGAGUGGCGGACGGGUGAGGAAUACAUCGGAAUCUACUUUUUCGUGGGGGAUAACGUAGGGAAACUUACGCUAAUACCGCAUACGACCUACGGGUGAAAGCAGGGGAUCUUCGGACCUUGCGCGAUUGAAUGAGCCGAUGUCGGAUUAGCUAGUUGGCGGGGUAAAGGCCCACCAAGGCGACGAUCCGUAGCCGGUCUGAGAGGAUGAUCAGCCACACUGGAACUGAGACACGGUCCAGACUCCUACGGGAGGCAGCAGUGGGGAAUAUUGGACAAAGGGCGCAAGCCUGAUCCAGCCAUACCGCGUGAGUGAAGAAGGCCUUCGGGUUGUAAAGCCCUUUUGUUGGGAAAGAAAAGCAGCAGGUUAAUACCCCGCUGUUCUGACGGUACCCAAAGAAUAAGCACCGGCUAACUUCGUG
rnacentral:rRNA from 1 species